GAGGUAAUAGCUCACUGGUAGAGUGCUUGCCUAGCAUGCAUGAGACUCUGGGUUCAAUCCCCAGUAUCCACC
rnacentral:tRNA from 1 species